GACGAACGCUGGCGGCGUGCUUAACACAUGCAAGUCGAACGGAAAGGCCCUGCUUUUGUGGGGUGCUCGAGUGGCGAACGGGUGAGUAACACGUGAGUAACCUGCCCUUGACUUUGGGAUAACUUCAGGAAACUGGGGCUAAUACCGGAUAGGAGCUCCUGCUGCAUGGUGGGGGUUGGAAAGUUUCGGCGGUUGGGGAUGGACUCGCGGCUUAUCAGCUUGUUGGUGGGGUAGUGGCUUACCAAGGCUUUGACGGGUAGCCGGCCUGAGAGGGUGACCGGCCACAUGGGGACUGAGGUACGGACCAGACUCCUACGGGAGGCAGCAGUGGGGAAUAUUGCACAAUGGGCGGAAGCCUGAUGCAGCAACGCCGCGUGCGGGAUGACGGCCUUCGGGUUGUAAACCGCUUUCGCCUGUGACGAAGCGUGAGUGACGGUAAUGGGUAAAGAAGCACCGGCUAACUACGUG
rnacentral:rRNA from 1 species